rnacentral:rRNA from 1 species
GUGCCAGCAGCCGCGGUAAUACGUAGGGCGCAAGCGUUGUCCGGAAUUAUUGGGCGUAAAGAGCUCGUAGGCGGCUCAGUAAGUCGGGUGUGAGACCUCCAGGCUCAACCUGGAGACGCCACCUGAUACUGCUGUGGCUAGAGUCCGGUAGGGGAGUGGGGAAUUCCUGGUGUAGCGGUGAAAUGCGCAGAUAUCAGGAGGAACACCGGUGGCGAAGGCGCCACUCUGGGCCGAAACUGACGCUGAGGAGCGAAAGCGUGGGGAGCGAACAGGAUUAGAAACCCUAGUAGUCC